GAAGAAGAACAAUUGAUGCGAUCAAAAUAUGUUCCUUUAAACUAAAUUGAAUAUUGCUCUCACUUAGUGUAUAAAAUAUGAGAAAGUUCAUUCUUUAUAAAGACUUUCUUCACAGUUUCGAAGUAUGCCUCGCAUUUUCGGACCGUUCCAGGAACUUAUCGUUACUUGUAUUGUGACACGAGGACGUCAAAAUCACAACAACUCCAACAGGCGACGACGUCGGGACAAGGAGGUUUUCGAUGUCACGAAGACGGACAACAUCAUGACAAGGCGAUUCGGGAUGUUGCUACGUGGCGACAUGUUUCCC
rnacentral:lncRNA from 1 species